GGGGAGAUUCCAGAGCGGUCAAAUGGGGCAGACUGUAAAUCUGUUGGCAAUGCCUUCGGAGGUUCGAUUCCUCCUCUCCCCA
rnacentral:tRNA from 1 species